UACAGAGGGUGCGAGCGUUGUUCGGAAUUAUUGGGCGUAAAGGGCGCGUAGGCGGUGCGGUAAGUCGGGUGUGAAAUCUCGGGGCUUAACUCCGAAACUGCAUUCGAUACUGCCGUGCUUGAGGACUGGAGAGGAGACUGGAAUUUACGGUGUAGCGGUGAAAUGCGUAGAUAUCGUAAGGAAGACCAGUGGCGAAGGCGGGUCUCUGGACAGUUCCUGACGCUGAGGCACGAAAGCCAGGGGAGCGAACGGG
rnacentral:rRNA from 1 species